rnacentral:rRNA from 1 species
CAGCACCUCAAGUGGUCAGGAUGAUUAUUGGGCCUAAAGCAUCUGUAGCCGGCUCUGUAAGUUUUCGGUUAAAUCUGUACGCUCAACGUACAGGCUGCCGGGAAUACUGCAGAGCUAGGGAGUGGGAGAGGUAGACGGUACUCGGUAGGAAGGGGUAAAAUCCUUUGAUCUAUUGAUGACCACCUGUGGCGAAGGCGGUCUACCAGAACACGUCCGACGGUGAGGGAUGAAAGCUGGGGGAGCAAACCGGAUUAGAUACCCGAGUAGUCC